AACCCUAGGGGGCCCCAAGAGAUGCGGCCCGUGAACUCCUCUGAGGGGCACUAAAGUGAGGCGGCAGCCAGCACAAGCUCCCCAGGAAACCGUGAGCAGACUGGAUACGUGUACUUCAGGGCCCAGUGGGGUGGUGAGAAAAGGAACACCAACUCUUAGCGUAAAGAAUCGUCUGUUCGAGAGGCGUCCUUUCCUGGUUUGUAGUGAAAGCUCAGUCCUCUGAGCUGUGAGAUUUCAAAAAUUGAACGAGGAAUGGUUUUCCUUGGCAUUUUGUGAAUAUCUUCACAUCUCCAGUCAUAAAUAAAGCUAUUAUUUUACGGUCUCCUGUGUCUUUAUCUCCUAAGACAUUUCUACUGGAAGAGCCCGAUUCUGGCCUUUCUGUGUUGUAACAGCUUGUGCUAUGUCCUGCACCUGUGACAACUACUACAUUAAAAAGAGGUCAUACGCUGUCCAGGGCCUGGCAUUUGAGGAAGUGUUUUUAGAGGGUCUUGCAUGCACUGUUGUGUCUUUGGCUGCUCUAUCUUGCUACUCGUGGUGGGGAGUUGGACCUUCCGCCUCAUGUGCUUUGAUUCGUUUGCUGAAGUAACGCUGGGAAAAAGGAGAAGCGGGGGCCCAGGGAGAAGGGAAGAAACCUAUCCCAAACGAAGAAAUGACAGGGGCGGAAAGAAAGACCAGGCAGAGAAUCAAAGAAACCAUAGGCUUAAUCCAGAAAGAGGA